rnacentral:rRNA from 1 species
AGAGUUUGAUCAUGGCUCAGGAUGAACGUUGGCGGUGUGCCUAAUACAUGCAAGUCGAACGGAGUUAAUAGCAAUAUUGACUUAGUGGCGAACGGGUGAGUAACGCGUUGGUGAUCUGCCUCGAAGUGUGGAAUAACGUUCCGAAAGGAACGCUAAUACCGCAUGUGCUCUCGAUUUUUAGAAAGUUGAGAGUAAAGGAUUUAUUCGCUUCGAGAGGAGCCUGCGUCCCAUCAGCUGGUUGGUAGGGUAACGGCCUACCAAGGCUAUGACGGGUAGGGGACCUGAGAGGGUGGCCCCCCACAAUGGAACUGAAACACGGUCCAUACACCUACGGGUGGCAGCAGUAGGGAAUAUUAGAAAUGGACGAAAGUCUGAUCUAGCAACACCGCGUGUGCGAAGAAGGCCUUCGGGUCGUAAAGCACUUUUUGGAAGGAAUAGGAAGGAAUGUACUUCCAGAAUAAGUCUCGGCUAACUACGUGCCAGCAGCCGCGGUAACACGUAGGAGGCGAACGUUAUCCGGAUUUACUGGGCAUAAAGCGCGUGUAGGUGGUACUGUAAGUAGGGCGUGAAAGCUCCCGGCUCAACUGGGAGAGGCCGUUCUAAACUACAGAACUAGAGGAUGGUAGAGGGAGGUGGAAUUCCAGGUGUAGCGGUGGAAUGCGCAGAUAUCUGGAGGAACACCGGUGGCGAAGGCGGCCUCCUGGACCAUUCCUGACACUCAGACGCGAAAGCUAGGGUAGCAAACGGGAUUAGAGACCCCGGUAGUCCUAGCCCUAAACGAUGUAGACUAGGCGUCGGAAGUUUAAUCACUUUCGGUGUCCAAGCUAACGCGAUAAGUCUACCGCCUGGGGACUACGGCCGCAAGGUUAAAACUCAAAUGAAUUGACGG